rnacentral:rRNA from 1 species
AACGAACGCUGGCGGCAGGCUUAACACAUGCAAGUCGAGCGGGCCCUUCGGGGUCAGCGGCAGACGGGUAAGUAACACGUGGGAACAUACCCAUCUCUGCGGAACAACUCCGGGAAACUGGAGCUAAUACCGCAUACGCCCUUCGGGGGAAAGAUUUAUCGGAGAUGGAUUGGCCCGCGUUGGAUUAGCUAGUUGGUGGGGUAAAGGCCUACCAAGGCGACGAUCCAUAGCUGGUCUGAGAGGAUGAUCAGCCACAUUGGGACUGAGACACGGCCCAAACUCCUACGGGAGGCAGCAGUGGGGAAUAUUGGACAAUGGGCGCAAGCCUGAUCCAGCCAUGCCGCGUGAGUGAUGAAGGCCUUAGGGUUGUAAAGCUCUUUCACCGAUGAAGAUAAUGACGGUAGUCGGAGAAGAAGCCCCGGCUAACUUCGUGCCAGCAGCCGCAGUAA